rnacentral:lncRNA from 1 species
GCGGCCGCGGGUGCUGCCGGGGGGCGCGGCGGGCGCAGCAGAGCGGCGGGCGGCGGCGGCGUCGUCGAGCGACAAUACAAGCGCCUCGGACCGAGUCCCCGAACCUGCCCUAGCCAAAAUGGCGGCCGAGAAAGAGCGGAAGUGACGUUAAAGAGGCUUUUGUAUACUGGAGAUAUAACCAAAAAAGGUCUAAGGUGACUUUACGCAGAGAUUGAAGGAUGAGCAGCAGAUGGUCAUCAAGGAGCAUGGAAACAGCAUUUCAGGCAAAGGAAAAUGGAACUCUGUGAACUCAGAAGCAUGCUAUGGCAUGGAAAGCAAAAAGGAAGGAGCACAAGGCAGAGGUCAGAAAGGGAGGCAGGGGCCAACAAACACAUAGGGGCUUGAGGGACAAGGGAAGGAACUUGGAUUUUUCCCUAGAUGUUAGUGGGAACUCCCUGAACUCCCUGAACUGGAGGGACAAUAAUCUGAUUCUGUUUUUAUGUAUCUAGCUUAAACUCAGAACAGCUUCCAAAAUCUUAUUCACAGAGGUUUUGUGGUCUUUUGGGCUAAGAAUUUAAUUAUAUUGCCUACAAACAAAUAUAACUGUGUAUAUUUUACUAACAUUUAACUAAAUUCUUAUCUUACUGUAUUAACAUUUCCAUGUUUAAUGAUAGCUAGCAUGCCUGUAUUAAUGCAUGUAUUGGAAAUGAUUCAGCAUUUCACUAUUUGGUGUGGUAUUUGUAUUAGGACUGGGUUAUUUUUAUUAUGCUUAAGAGGUUUCCUUCUAUUCUUAAAGUUUUAACUAGAAAAUGGUAGUAAAUAAUAUCUCCUUUAGCAUCUACAGACUUAACCACACUACUUUGUUAACAUAAUGAAUGAAUUAUAAGUGAUUACCAAUAAUGAGCCAUUCUGGCAUUCCUGGAAUAAACCCUUUUGUUCACGGUG